UACGAAGGGUGCAAGCGUUACUCGGAAUUACUGGGCGUAAAGCGUGCGUAGGUGGUUCGUUAAGUCUGAUGUGAAAGCCCUGGGCUCAACCUGGGAAUGGCAUUGGAUACUGGCGACCUAGAGUGCGGUAGAGGGGUGUGGAAUUCCCGGUGUAGCAGUGAAAUGCGUAGAUAUCGGGAGGAACAUCUGUGGCGAAGGCGACACCCUGGACCAGCACUGACACUGAGGCACGAAAGCGUGGGGAGCAAAAGGG
rnacentral:rRNA from 1 species